rnacentral:rRNA from 1 species
UACAGAGGGGGCAAGCGUUGUUCGGAAUUACUGGGCGUAAAGGGCGCGUAGGCGGCCUGUUAAGUCGAACGUGAAAUCCCCGGGCUCAACCCGGGAACUGCGUCCGAUACUGGCAGGCUUGAAUCCGGGAGAGGGAUGCGGAAUUCCAGGUGUAGCGGUGAAAUGCGUAGAUAUCUGGAGGAACACCGGUGGCGAAGGCGGCAUCCUGGACCGGUAUUGACGCUGAGGCGCGAAAGCGUGGGGAGCGAACAGG